rnacentral:rRNA from 1 species
GGCUCAGGACGAACGCUGGCGGCGUGCUUAACACAUGCAAGUUGAACGGUAUGACAUGGAAGCUUGCUGAAGUGUCAUAUAGUAGCGGACGGGUGAGUAAUGCAUGAGAAGCUGCCAUUGGGAGGGGGACAACAGUUGGAAACGGCUGCUAAUACCCCGUAUGCCGGAAGGUGAAAGGGAGCGAUCCGCCCGAUGAGGUGCUCAUGUCCUAUCAGCUGGUUGGUGGGGUAACGGCCUACCAAGGCGACGACGGGUAGCCGGCCUGAGAGGGUGAACGGCCACACUGGAACUGAGAUACGGUCCAGACUCCUACGGGAGGCAGCAGUGGGGAAUAUUGGGCAAUGGGGGGCAACCCUGACCCAGCGACGCCGCGUGGGGGAAGACGGCCUUCGGGUUGUAAACCUCUUUUGUACGGGAAGAAGGAAGUGACGGUACUGUACGAAUAAGUCCCGGCUAACUACGUGCCAGCAGCAGC